UGGGGAAUUUUGCACAAUGGGGGAAACCCUGAUGCAGCGACGCCGCGUGAUUUAGAAGGCCUUCGGGUUGUAAAAAUCUUUUGUAUGGGAAGAAAAUGACAGUACCAUACGAAUAAGGACCGGCUAAUUACGUGCCAGCAGCCGCGGUAAUACGUAAGGUCCGAGCGUUGUCCGGAAUCAUUGGGCGUAAAGGGUACGUAGGCGGAUAAGCAAGUUAGAAGUGAAAUCCUAUAGCUCAACUAUAGUAAGCUUUUAAAACUGCUCAUCUUGAGGUAUGGAAGGGAAAGUGGAAUUCCUAGUGUAGCGGUGAAAUGCGCAGAUAUUAGGAGGAAUACCGGUGGCGAAGGCGACUUUCUGGGCUCAUUCUGACGCUGAGGAACGAAAGCGUGGGUAGCAAACAGG
rnacentral:rRNA from 1 species